GUGUGUUGAUUUUCUUGUGUUCCUCUCGGGUGCAUUUCCACGCACGUCCACGAGAUGUCCCCUCAGCCUCCAAUCUGGGUUACCGCGGACUCUUAAGAGCGCCCGAAUCGACGUGGAGUAGGUAGGGCCUUAUCGUAGAGCAGGGCGUGAUGGCGUCAUGAGUUGCCGGGCGGUUUCUUGCCCCCACUCGCUCAGUCUGCCCCCAGUUUAGGAUAGCGAUCGAGAUUCUCGAGGCUCGUACUCAACCGCCGUCCAGUGCAUCCAGCGCGUGGGCAGAAGCUACGAAAGAGAUAUGUGAGCCCCGAACUGGAGAGUAGGAGGAACUCAAUGGGAUUCAGACUUCUUGUCAGAUUUUAGCUAGUGCCGAAAGGAGUAUGCCUUGACCAAUUCCUCCCUAACUGUCUCUGUGCUGCCUUGGGCUGUGGGAUGGAUAACAGAACUUUUGAAUCAUCACUGGAAUAAACUCAUUAGAGCCUCUUCUUCAUAACACCGUAUCUGUCACUCAGACACAUGAAGGAAGUGGCCAGACCUGCUCCGUCACCUGCCUGUGCAUCUCUGUCCCACCUGAGAGCUUCCACAGGCCCCGGUGCCUUCUUCCUCUUCGCCAUCUGUCUUGUGCUCAUCUCCUCUGAGAAGCCUUCCAUGACUAAUCCUACUCUCAGCUCCAACUCAUCCCUUGAAGAUUUAUACAAACUAGAUUUAGCAUUCUAGAAGAGGAAGAUAGUGAUGGCCCGGAGUGCAGAAAUGAGUAUUGUGACCGGGAGCAGAUAAGCUAGAUUCCAGGGACUUGGAGAUGUGUGGGCGUAUGGUAGCAGUAGACCUGGAAUGAGGAGAGAGAGACAAAAACUGAGAAGUACCGUAAUGUGCUAACUUGAAGUAUUGGAGACACCAGAGCCAUCUUCACCCAUCCAAAGGGCUGUGGUGUCCAAGAGAGAUGGGCUUGAACUUUAGUGUUUGCUUUCAAUGCCCCUCUGGGCUCACAUGACCCCUGUGCCUGCCACUAUCACCCGGGCUGCCAUCACUAGCCUGUCAGACCCCCAAAUGUGGAUACCAUGACGUCCUCAUCUUUGUAUCUGCAGUGCCUGGCAUGUAGUAGUAACUCAAUAAACGUUUGUCGAAUGCAUGAAUGGGCUUGUCUUGGCAUCUGUUUUGGGAGCUCAAGGCCUCGCUCUGCUUUGCUUCCUGCCUUCCUGAUUUGGGGGAGCCGUUGCUCAUAGGCAGCAAGCUUGCUGGUGACAAAGACCCAGCAAGAUGAGGUAAAACUGUUUGUAGUCGGAACUCCCCUGGGUCUAAUGGGGGAGGCACAGCCCUCCCCUUGGAAUAAGCUGUUGGGUUGCUUCUGGUUUUGAUGCGGAUAUGCCCUCCCCUCUGUAGGAGAGCUCAGUGUUGCACUCGAAAUGUCUGCAUGUGAGCCCAAGACAGGAAGGGUGGGGGCUGCACCCCACCCAUUGCUCCUUAACUGCCUCCCUCGGCUCCUGGGUACUCAGUCUGCUCUCUGUUCACUUCCUUUUGUAGAUAACGUGGCUUUGUAGAUGCUCAAGUCUCUGUGUCUGGGGUAGGUCUUGGUCUCCCCAGCUUCAGAGCUCCCCAGAGAGAAAAGACCCUAUUUCUUCCAUAAGCCUGGGAGUUCCCCGAGAGUUAGGUUCCUGUCUCUCCCCCUCAGACCGGGAGCUCCCUCAGGGCCGCCCCAGGCUUCUGCUCUGCAGGGCAGGAAGAAAUUGGUUUUGGAAGAGCUGAGCGAGGGACUCCUCUUCUCCCACACCUACAUACAGCCUGCUGGCUCCAGGAUGCUGCAUGUGGGUGCUAAGCUGGGUCCUGCCCCAGACCUCCUGGGUUCUUCUGGACCAGGUGUGUGGCUGGGCUCUCUUGGCACCUGGCAGCUUCGUUCCUGGCUCCCGCAUGUCCCGGUAGGAGAGGUUGGUCUUGAUGGAGUGCAUCUGUACCAGCCCGAAGUGUGAGAAGCAGACAGCAAAAAUGAAACCGGCCAGCUGCCUACUUGGCAUCUCAGAACAUGGGUCCUAUGAUCUUUGGUCCCCGGUGGAGAUAAGGAUGGGGGAGAAACCAGUUAUCUUACCCCUUGCUGCCUGCCUGGUGGACAAGCACAACUCAGAGGCCAGAGUGCAGAGGGAAGGGCUGAGGGCUUCAGUGAUUGUUGCUCUGGGAGGGAGCAUCUCUGAGUCUGUGGAGGCCCCACUCUGUCCAGCGUCCUAUAAUGUGCUGAGCUGAAGCUAUAGCUUCUGAUGCCCCCCUCCCACCAAUUUCCGACUCAGGGACCCCAGCUGACGGGGGUAAAGGGGUCUCUCCCUAGGGAGAGGAGCCAAUGAAGCAUCUCCCCUGCCAUCUCCAUCUUCUGCCCCACUUGCCCUCCCUCUCCCUCUCCUGCCCUAGAACGCAAGAGGGAAAGGAAUUUGAGCCAGAAGGGGCCAUGGGGAUAACUACCAAGAUGACACUAUCCAGGGCUCUAGGACCCUUCCUCACUUGGGUUCCAGGCAAAGUUUCCCUCCCUGGAUCCUUUCCCAUCUGUGCUCAACUCUGAGAAUUGGGGUUAGGUGUCUGGGCAGGGGAACCAACUCUGCAGAUCUUAAAGGUGUCGUUUCUGCUGCUUGGGAUGACAGGAAGUCAAAUGAGGCUCCAGAGAUGGACACAGAUAAUAGAGACUCGGGGCCCCACCUGUCCCCCAGGCUCCCACUCCCAUAGGCCUACACAGUCUGUUUCCCAGGAUCCAGUGAGAUGUGUCCCAGCCUGAUUCCAGGAGCGGGUGGGUGAGCAGACUGGGACAGACAGUGGCAGGGGAGAAACUGAUGGAGGGUAUGAUAGGAUUUGGGCCAAGAUUCCAAGGCCCAGGCCAGGGUGUGGCUGGGGUGGAGGUCAAACUGCAGCUGGAAACUGUCCACACUCUAGUUCUUUCCCUGUCCCUGAGCAUCCCUGGAAGUGGGGAGGCCCAUGUCUCCUGAGAAAAGGGGAUGGGGGGUGGGUCUCAGGUUUUUCUGAAAUGAGUCAAGUUGAGACUUCCUGAAUGAUAUGAGGGACCUCAGCCUUGGAGUGGUGGAGGGAGCCUCAGAGAUGGCAAGAGAAGGGGCUGGGGAUGCUG